rnacentral:rRNA from 1 species
GACGAACGCUGGCGGCGUGCCUAAUACAUGCAAGUAGAACGCUGAAGGAGGAGCUUGCUCUUCUGGAUGAGUUGCGAACGGGUGAGUAACGCGUAGGUAACCUGCCUGGUAGCGGGGGAUAACUAUUGGAAACGAUAGCUAAUACCGCAUAAGAGUAGAUGUUGCAUGACAUUUACUUAAAAGGUGCAAUUGCAUCACUACCAGAUGGACCUGCGUUGUAUUAGCUAGUUGGUGGGGUAACGGCUUACCAAGGCGACGAUACAUAGCCGACCUGAGAGGGUGAUCGGCCACACUGGGACUGAGACACGGCCCAGACUCCUACGGGAGGCAGCAGUAGGGAAUCUUCGGCAAUGGACGGAAGUCUGACCGAGCAACGCCGCGUGAGUGAAGAAGGUUUUCGGAUCGUAAAGCUCUGUUGUAAGAGAAGAACGAGUGUGAGAGUGGAAAGUGCACACUGUGACGGUAUCUUACCAGAAAGGGACGGCUAACUACGU